CUAUGUGCAUAUAUGACUACAUGACCAGUGUGACUCUACAUCAUGUACAACCAGAGAAUGAGAAGUUAAACUCCAUUAUGUAUGAUGUGUCAAAGUGCAUGCUACUGUCAUGUAUAACUAAUUAGAAUAAAUAAAUUUUUUAUAAAAGCAUGUACUGCUCUGUGAGAUAUAAUAAUCUUUGGAGAAAACAGUUUUAAAAAGUCGUCUAUCCUAUGCUUCUAUAUGAAGCUCUUGCCUCCUCCUAGAGCUUGUCAGAGAAACAAACAAGCACCCGUCUUACAUCAGGUUGUGCUCAAUCAUGAGAACUAGUUAAAACAGAGAAACAGCUAACAGGAUGUUGAGUGAGGAACUUUUCUAAAAAAAAAAAAGAGGAAACAGAUAACUUGUUAUUAGGAAAGUUUGUAAGGAUUUCACAUACACACUCCAGAGAGACCUGAGACAGUAUGUAAAGUAGAAUCUCAUCUGGUUAAAAUGUUACCAUGUUGUGGAUCUAGUUUGCGGUGGGCUGUCUGUGUUGUUCUUGCUGCCCCUUAUCCAUGUCUAUAGCAACAGAAAAUGGACUAUGACAAAACUGUGUUGCAAAAUGCUAUUGGCAGUUAACUCUUUUUUUUGUUUGUUUGUUUUAAUUAGUUACACAUGACAGUACAAUGACCUUGACAUUCCAUACAUUUGAAUCAGAUGGGAUAUAAUAUCUCAUUUUUCUGAGUGUACAGGUUACAGAAUCACAUUGAUCAUGCAUUCACAUAUAUAUACACAGUAAUAAUAAUGUCUGUUUCAUUCUACUAUCCUUCCUAUCUCCCCAACCCCUCCCCUCUCCUCCCAUCACUUCUCUCUACCUAAUCUAGGGUAAUGAAUAGCAGUUAACUGUAUCCAGAGAUUAUAGGUAAGUUUUGGUUCAUCCUUCUUAGAAUUUUUACAUACUGUUUAUAAUGAGUACAUAUGUCUGUGACAUAAAGAAUGAUAAAAAAUACACUAUUACUUUGAAAAACUAAUUUUUUAGAAGUGAUCUUACCAAGUACAAUGGCACACUCCUAUAAUCCCAGUGGCUGAGGAGGCUGAGACAGGAGGAUGUGAGUUCAAAGCCAGCCUCAGUAAAAGUGAGGUGCUAAGCAACUCAGUGAGACCCUGUCUCUAAAUAAAAUACAAAAUAGGGCUGGGGAUGUGGCUCAGUGGUCAAAUGCCCCUGAGUUCAAUUCCCAGUACCCCUCCCCACCCCGCCAACAAGAAAAAGUGAUCUCUUCAUUCUCAGAUUUGCUGCUAUAAUUACUGUUUGGGCAAUAAUUCACCAAACAAUCAUGAAAUUGAAUUUUAGGUUCCCACUGUUAUUUGACUAUGGGAAUAGAACAUGAAAUGGGAUUUUUUUUUUGUAUCAUCCACUAUUUACUAAGCCUAUUUAUUACUGGAAUAUAGAAUGGAGUCUUCAGGUAUAUUUACUGACAUUAAUUGAAUCCCUGUUUCAUAUUAAUCAGAAAGGCAGAGUAAAGAAACAACAGCAAGGAGAGGCCCCAGCUACAGCAAUAUCCAAAAUGAGUUAAUUGAAAACCCAACGCGGAAGCACUUGGUGCCCACUUGGGUCUGCUUCCUCCAUACAUCAACAGUGGGAAUUCCUGUGGUCACACCACGAUUCUUGGCUUCAGUGUCCAAUUUCAGCCUUACCCAGAUUCAUUUAAAUAAUACAAAUACUACAAACCAGAGAAUCAAGCAACUCCUGGGAAUUUAGAAUACCAAUUAAAAUUCCUGUUAGAGGACUAAUUUGGAAAUAAAACUAUUUUAAAGACUAGUUAGGCAAAUAACAUGCAAAACUUGCAGAAGCAAAAAGAGGUCAGAUGUGAAAGAGGUCAUCCUCAACUAAGUUCCUUACAGUUAAUUUUUUACACAGUAUGGCCAAGAAACCUGAAAUUGUUCAUCUUCCACUCAGUUGAUAAAAAAUGUAAAGGAAACCAGCUACAUAGUACAGCUUUCUUUGAUUUUUUUUUAAAGACUCCAUGUAAAGUUUUAAGAGAGAGAUGAUACAGAACAAAAUAGUCCAUAAUGAAAAUAAGUCCAGUGCUAAAUUAGAAAACUGAAGCAAGCCUGCUUCUGCCUUCAAGUUCAAGGUAACCGGGGCCACAGGGCUCCUCUGCAGAGCGCUGCCACGCAUGGUAAAGCUCAGUGGCUCUGACAAGGAUCUGAACGUGGGGCUCUGAAUUCUGCCCACACUCUAAGAUGAGAGCUGGGAAGAAGCAGGGGGAGUGUGGCCAGGCUUAAAGGAGCUUGAAUCACUUAGGUAAUUGGGCCAGCAGAUGGCAAAUGCAGUUCAUCCUGGAAGACUGAAAUAAUUAGUCUGGGAGAGAGAAGCUAAUCUAGUAAUAAUGAUCUUCCACUUAUGUAGCAUUAUUUUUUACAAAGCACCUUUCACCAAGAGGCCUCUUAAGGCCUUCUGCAACAUGCCUGCAUGCGUGGUGUGUUAAGGUGUCAGCCGCCAGGCGAGAAGCACCCUCCAGGGAGCCUGCAUCCCAAACACUCUGGCCCCGGGGAGGAAGAAGGCAAAAGGGAGGAGGAACCCCAAAGUGGUUCUCCAAAUAGAAGUACCUUGCAGACACUCAGGUGUGGGAACUAAACCAGCAGGCUAUUUAUCAGAGUUUGAUGACUCAUAAAGCAUUAGAAUGUCAUUUGCUUGGGGUAUCAUGAAAAGCACGGGUCAAGCAGAUUUGGAGGUUUAUCUCUAAACAAAGGCUAGAAGAGUUUAGUGUUAUCUUCCUAAAGUGAUGAAGACACAAACUUUUUUUUUUUUAACUUUCAGUUGGCCAAAUGAAACUUUUCAGUUUUGUAGCCAAACUUUGGUAAAUAAUUCCCAGGGUUAAACAGAUACCCCAGCGCGCAGGGCUCCAGGACUGCCCUGUAGCAGACUGCAUGGGUUGGCCUCCUUGAUAGCCAGCUGUCACCUUUUCCUCUCUUCCUAGGACUCAGUCCAAGCAGAGGGUGUUGGAGGGAGUUGUGAGGGGGCUGGGGCUAAUGUACUCCUGCCCCAGGCCCUCCUCCCAGCCCCCUCGAGGAGACAAGCACAGGGGCUCUGAACCAUUUGACAGGCCAGAUCGUCCCUACUUCUAAAACCCACCGAAGUCUCCGGAAGAACAAGCUUGGCUUAUCGAGAGUCCAGGUGGGUAGAUUGCUUGAGUAAGACUGUUAUACAAUCGGACGCCCAGAGAGCAGAGAAGAUGGAACCACCUUGCACAAUUUGGAGGCACUUUAACUUCAAGUUCCAAAAGUUUGUUGUCAGGAAUGAAAAUCUUGGUCUUAUAACCAAGGCAAAGCUUCACCCCAGUCAACUGUCCCAAGAAGAGCAGGUAGGAGAGAGGCCCAUCCCACCUAUGAGUCACAGCACUGUGAGAACAAGGGAAGAGGAGGACCCCAGAGGGAGGGAGGAAGGUGUGAGGAAGGGGGCAGGGAUUCCUGAUUCCAUCCCCCACCCCACCACCACCAAGAGCCUUCUUAUGGCUAAAAGGUGCUGGAAGGUGGAAUCCAGGGCAGUUCCUCACCCACCUCACAAGUGAAGUGGUCUUGGAGAACUUCUGAACCCUCAGUGGCAGGCAGGUAGCAACCUCGGGCUGCAUCAUGUGAAUUCCAGACUGUCUACUGUCUGCCCCCCUUGGCCCCCUUCCUCACUGGGCCAUUCCACCAUCCAGUAUCACAUUUCCAGGAAGAGAGACAUUGACAAAUGGGAUCCACUGUGUGACCUACUUGGUGAGUCCACUGAAACCAAGUCAUCUGAAGAGUACUUUGAGGAAUUGGUUAUUUAUCUUUAAAAGUACUUUGAGGUUAUUUAUCUUUAAAAGUAGAAAACUUAAAGUGUUUUAAAGUAUGAUCAUGCGUAAGAGAGACUCCUCUUAUUCUACUUCUAUAACUCUAGAACAAUCCCAAUGGAGAUAUAAUAUGAAAUAUACAUAUAUAUUAUUUAGCUUUUCUAGGACCCAUAUUUUAAAAAGAGAAACUGGUGGAAUUUGUAUUAAUGAUGUACUUUAUUAAUUCAAUGUAUCUAAAAUGUUAUCAUUCCAACAUACAAUCAACUUUUUAAAGUUAUUGACAUGUUUGGUAUUUUUUUCUUACUAAGUCUUUGAAAUCCAGCCAGUAGUCUACAUAAUUCCCACCGGCCGCACCUCAGGUGCUCGGAAGCCAUGCUGAUCAGCGCAGCUCUGAAGGGUAAAUCAGGCUGUGGUGUCCUGGAACUGGCCUAGUGUCCUGCAUGACCUGAGGUUCUUCUUUCCCUGAAUUGCUGUAAGCCAGGAGGGUUUGCUGAUGAGGACUGGUUUUCACCUGGGUAAAUAUUUCUUCACAGCACGUGGCUCUUGUCCAUGACUUCUAACAACAAGGGACCUUUUCCCAUGGCCCUGUCUCCUUGUCACCUACCCUUCCUUCUACCUGUGGCAGAUGUUCAUGCCUCUGCCCAGCUCUGCUCACCCACUCCUCUGUCACCUUCUAAAUAGGCACUGAAAAGUGGUGACACACUACUGCCCACCAAAGGCAGCUGACACCACCGUUCAACAGCUGUCAAGCACAGGGAAUCAGUCAUUGGGCGUCCGCAUCACAUUAAUGCCCUGUCUUACAGUUGCUGGUGGUGAUACUGGUGUCAUGGUUUUAACAAAUACAGCUACAUAAAUGAUCACGAAAACCAUGCCCUCCAAGACCUGCUCAUCUCUCUCUCAUUCCAAAAAUAUUCUUUAUCGUGUAUUUUGUUCCAGAGAAGCCGUACGGUGUCUUCCCCAAAGAGCACCCCACCAAGAGAAGUCCAAAGCUGGCAACAGGACUCAGAGAAUGGAAGCAAGCCCUAGGACCUGGGAAGCCAAACCCUGCAUUUAUCUUUCCGUGGAGAGCUCAAGGUUGUAAAUCACAGGGGUCUAGGCUGAGAAGUUCAAUCAGUCAAGAUGCAGUGGUAAUGGGUCAAGGUCAUGAGUCAAUCCAAGGACAGGCCAAUUGGCUGUGCUCCACAGUCAAAGGCUAUGCCACACACCUGAUGAUAAAAUGCAAGCUCUUCCCAGGAGCAAGGGGCUGACUUCCUGGAGCCGUCACAAAUGAGGACAAAACUGCUAUGGAGACAGAGCUACCCACCAUCCAGGGCCACAGCACAAGGGUGUAGUAAGUAGCAGGCACAGGUGACACUCACCUGUGCUGCAAGGUUAGACCCAGUUGCACCAUCUGUGUCAGCUCAAUUGCUAGAACAAAAUACCAUAGGCUGGGGACCACAGAAAUUGGUUUUCCCAUAGCUCUGGAGGCUGAAGGUCCGGAUAGGAGUGCCAGCAGAGCAGGGGUCUGGAGAGGGCUCUCUUCCUGGCUGGCAGAUGGCCCUCUGCAGUGCACGGAGAGAUGGGGACACCUUCCUUUCCCUGCAAGACCCCCAGUUCUUGCAGAUUUGAUCCUGCCCUAGGAUCCAACCCUAAUUAUUGCCUCCCAUUCUCAUCUCCAGAAUGCACCCAGGGAGACACCGCACGUGCACAACACGCCUUCCACACGCAACCUGCCAAGCCUCCCCUUGGAGUCUCCACUCCAAAAAGUAAUAACAACAAAGAAUGGAAACGAGAUGUCUCUCCUCCUGAGUGAGACAGCCGAGAAACCCUUUAUUCAAAUCUUUCUCUGGAAACCAGUGGAGUUGAAUGUGUAAAUGAAUAAUAAAAAGAAACCCCCCACACACUCAAGUGGUCAGCUAACUCAACAAGACAAUUUUUUUCUUAGGAGUCUGCAGAUCUGAGCUUCUACCCUGGUGACUGUCACAGUGCCUGCCACUUAACAGAACCUCCAUGUCCAUUGAACAAAUGAACGAUGAAUAUUUUCCAAUGAUGGAAGAUUCAUUAAAAUUAAAAUCAGAAA